CCUUUAGCUUGUGCCUCUGCAGAGAUGCUGUAACCUUCAGAAUUUUAGGGGCUUUUUUAGCUGUAUAAGAGUCAGUGCUCAGCAUUCAAAUUAUGAUUCAUUUAUUCUGUAGAAACCUAAGCAGUAGGCGAACAUAUACACACAUGCAAAAACAAAGGUGGUCUCUGCCCUAGGACCAGCAAUCUUCCUAUUACAAACAUUACAACUUGCCUACAGCAAGUGGGGUGGGCAUUUCAGCACAGGACAAUUCUUCUUCAAUGAAAGGAGUCCUGAAGGCUUUUCUACAUGACAAAGCAUUUGGCAACAAUGAUGUUUUGAAGCAUUUCCUCUCCUGGUCACUUAUUUCUACUCCUGUCAGCUCUUGCAGUUGUACUAACAUGUCUCUUGUGGGGUUACCCUAUGAACCAGAUCAGGAAACCUAACCAGGUUAAAAAUUAGCCACAGGGAAAAAGAAAAAAAAAAAAAAAAAAGGCAGCAAAGAACUGGCACAGCUGCAAAAGCAGACCAUAGUCACACAGGGACAAAAUAAGCAAAGGGUGGCAUGGGAAGGUGGUAUGAAUGCCCCAAAUCCAUGCUAUCACUGAAUGGUUUGGGGUCGUGAGAAUAACAGGGUUAACAUCAAAAUUAUAUUUUGCCUUUAGAAACUUUGUAUAGUUUUGUCAACCAGAGAUGUGAAAGAAAUUCUCUCUGAUAUACAACUCUAUGGCACCAGAAACCUCUGGUGAAGUGUAAAUAAAUACUCUACCGGCAACAGCUUGGAAAAAAGCUUGUUGCCUCCUCCAGCUGUAACUGAUCAUGCCACUAGAAACAGCUGCUAUAAAGGUCGUGGGGCAGGUGUGUGACUUUUGAGUGGGGUGGGUUGAGGGAGGUUAAAGAAAGCUAAUACUCAAAGUAAAGGAGGAAAGAGCAGUCCUAGAAAAUUAAGCAGUUCUGCAAAAUCUGAUAUGUAGUUUGUACUAAAACAGAGAGGAUGUAGUGAUUCUGCUUUGGGGAAAUUGUAAUGUUGAAAAGAGAGGGUUAGUGGACAACUUUAGAAGAAACUCUUUGUGUUGGCCUCUGGAUUUGAUGGUAUUGUUCCUCAGUCUUUAAAGGCCUACAAAGACCUAAAGAGAUCUACAGGUACAUUAUGGGGACAGAAGGAAUUAAAGCAACAAAGCUACUACAGUAGCUGGUCCUCUGUUAAUAUGAGCUUCAGCAAGGGUGCAACUGAUGCCUCUUGCUUGGAGGAAGACAGCUUUCUAAUGUUGGUAGGCAGCUGUGCGACAUUGCCCGCGUAACUCGGUGCAUGGUUCUCUUGUCCUGUUUAGACAUGUCUUAAUGAACAAAGUGUAUACAAGCUGUUUCCAAACAACUAUACCUAUUUGAAUGGUAAUAGUCUCAAACUCUAUUAAAGCAAAAUUCUCUGUACUUCCUACUUUGCUUGAGUAAGCACUUGGUGAAAGCAGGGCAAGCCUGAGACUCUAACAGUUUAAUCCUGACAGAAAAGCUUAACAUAUUGUGAGCUCCUCACCAGACCUUGCCUGAAGUAGCCCUUGGAGCUGUGAGCUCCCUGCCCUCGGAGAGGCCACUGGAGACAAACCCUGUUACUCUACAAUGACAAGGUUUUGCUUGCUGUGAUGAGUUGCGAGCUGGUGGUUUUCAGUGGAAAUCACAGUGAUCCCUCUUUGGAACUAUUUGCUUGCAAUGAAGGAGGGAGUGUACCCAAAUAUCACCACCUUUGCUUUGGGUAGAAAGUGCUACAAUAUGUAUCACCAUGCAGUUCAAGUCUAGGCAGCACAAGGCUAAAAUGUCAACAGUAGAACUGGCAUUACUGCCAUACCUGGUGAAGCCACCAGGAGUUGGCAGUGGUAGAAAUCUUAAACUUGUGGAUUAUCCUAGCUUUUUCCUUAAUAUGAUCCAUUACUGACUGGCAAACAAAGGAUAAAUACUGUUAACUGUAAUAGUAAUGCUGUGUGUAAUUCAUGCUUACUGAGACUAUCCAGACCAUUAGUGUUCCUGCUGUAGUGUGUGUAUAUAUACCCACAUUUGU